rnacentral:rRNA from 1 species
UACGAAGGGGGGCUAGCGUUGCUCGGAAUCACUGGGCGUAAAGGGCGCGUAGGCGGAUCUUUAAGUCGGGGGUGAAAGCCUGAGGCUCAACCUCAGAAUUGCCUUCGAUACUGGGACGCUUGAGUAUGGUAGAGGUUGGUGGAACUGCGAGUGUAGAGGUGAAAUUCGUAGAUAUUCGCAAGAACACCGGUGGCGAAGGCGGCCAACUGGACCAUUACUGACGCUGAGGCGCGAAAGCGUGGGGAGCAAACAGG